rnacentral:misc_RNA from 6 species
UACCGAGUGCGGGCCCUCUGGGUCCAACCUCCCAUCCGUGUCUAUCUGUACCCUGUUGCUUCGGCGUGGCCACGGCCCGCCGGAGACUAACAUUUGAACGCUGUCUGAAGUUUGCAGUCUGAGUUUUUAGUUAAACAAUCGUUAAAACUUUCAACAACGGAUCUCUUGGUUCCGGCAUCGAUGAAGAACGCAGCGAAAUGCGAUAAUUAAUGUGAAUUGCAGAAUUCAGUGAAUCAUCGAGUCUUUGAACGCACAUUGCGCCCCCUGGUAUUCCGGGGGGCAUGCCUGUCCGAGCGUCAUUGCUGCCCUCAAGCACGGCUUGUGUGUUGGGCUUCCGUCCCUGGCAACGGGGACGGGCCCAAAAGGCAGUGGCGGCACCAUGUCUGGUCCUCGAGCGUAUGGGGCUUUGUCACCCGCUCCCGUAGGUCCAGCUGGCAGCUAGCCUCGCAACCAAUCUUU